ACACACACACACACAAAAGGUGGACAAAGACCUGUGGGGUAGGCCGUACAAGGUGGUCAUGAAUCACCUAAAAGUCAAACAAAUGCCGGCACCCACAUGCCCACAACUUCUGCAGAGAAUCGUUACCGCGCUGUUUCCGCAGCAACGCGAGCUUCACUACCAGCUAGCUCAAGGAGAACUGGAGGACAUUCCAACUGUCACGGAAGAAGAACUGACGGAGGCUUGCAACCGCGUAGGGAAUAAUAAAGCACCGGGAUUAGACGGAAUCCCUAACAUUGCCUUAAAAACAGCUAUAAAGGCAGCACCG